rnacentral:tRNA from 1 species
GCGGAUGUGGUGGAAUUGGUAGACACGCACGCUUGAGGGGCGUGUGGCUAACGCUGUGCGAGUUCGAGUCUCGCCAUCCGCA